rnacentral:rRNA from 1 species
GGGGGGGGGGGGGGGGGGGGGGGGGGGGGUGGAGUGGGGGGGGAGGGCGCUGGGGGUGGGGGGUGCUGGAGUGGCGAGCGCGUGAGUAACGCGUGAGUGAGCUGCCCUUGCCUUUUGUGUAACUUGCGGAAGCUGGGGCUGCUGCCGGAGAGGCGCGCCGACUGCGUGGGUGGUGGUGUAACGGUUCGGCGGUCGGGGAUGGACUCGCGGCUUAGCGGCUUGUGGGUGGAGUAGUGGCUUACCAAGGCGUUGACGGGUCGCCGGCCUGAGAGGGUGACCGGCCACAUUGGGACUGAGAUACGGCCCAGACUCCUACGGGAGGCAGCAGUGGGGAAUAUUGCACAAUGGGCGGAAGCCUGAUGCAGCAACGCCGCGUGCGGGAUGACGGCCUUCGGGUUGUAAACCGCUUUCGCCUGUGACGAAGCGGGAGUGACGGUAAUGGGUAAAGAAGCACCGGCUAACUACGUG